AUGAGUCCAUGCCAACUGAAAGAGGAAAAUAAGAGUUCGGUCUUGGCUCCCUACAAAUGGGGUAUACUGGUUGAAUCAAUCCCAUAUGGAAGGACUAGUGUUCAGCAAAGUCUCUGCCUAAAUAUGACUCAGCAUUAUAUUGCCUGAGGAGAUGUCUACUGGGAAUACUUUCAAAUGAACUUCUACAGACAAAGGAAUAUCUGCUCUUGAGAAAGCAAAAUGAAGUGCUCAUCAGCAAUCUGUUGGUGAAAAAU